UACGUAGGGGGCAAGCGUUGUCCGGAAUCAUUGGGCGUAAAGCGCGCGUAGGCGGCCCGGUAAGUCCGCUGUGAAAGUCCAGGGCUCAACCCUGGAAAGCCGGUGGAUACUGUGAGGCUAGAGUACGGAAGAGGCGAGUGGAAUUCCUGGUGUAGCGGUGGAAUGCGCAGAUAUCAGGAGGAACACCAAUAGCGAAGGCAGCUCGCUGGGACGUUACUGACACUGAGGCGCGAAAGCGUGGGGAGCGAACAGG
rnacentral:rRNA from 1 species